GAGAGAGAGAGAGAGAAAGAAAAAAAAAAAAUAUGAAAAAUAAAGUUCAAGAAAAUAUAAUUUUUUAAAAUUUAUUUCUCAAUAAAUUUAUAUAUUUUCUUUCAUUUGUAUGU
rnacentral:ribozyme from 13 species